UACGGGGGGAGCAAGCGUUGUUCGGAUUUACUGGGCGUAAAGGGCGCGUAGGCGGUCAGCACAAGUCAGUUGUGAAAUCUCCGGGCUUAACUCGGAAAGGUCAACUGAUACUGUGCGACUAGAGUGCGGAAGGGGCAACUGGAAUUCUCGGUGUAGCGGUGAAAUGCGUAGAUAUCAGGAAGAACACCCGUGGCGAAGGCGGCUCUCUGGGACGGUACUGACGCUGAGACGCGAAAGCGUGGGGAGCGAACAGG
rnacentral:rRNA from 1 species